CAGCAGCCACGGGAAUACGGAGGAUCCAAGCGUUAUCCGGAUUUAUUGGGUUUAAAGGGUGCGUAGGCGGCCUAUUAAGUCAGGGGUGAAAGACGGUAGCUCAACUAUCGCAGUGCCUUUGAUACUGAUGGGCUUGAAUGUACUUGAGGUAGGCGGAAUGUGACAAGUAGCGGUGAAAUGCAUAGAUAUGUCACAGAACACCAAUUGCGAAGGCAGCUUACUAUGGUUUUAUUGACACUGAGGCACGAAAGCGUGGGGAUCAAACAGGAUUAGAUACCCCGGUAGUCCCUGUCUCUUAUAC
rnacentral:rRNA from 1 species